GAAUCAAUGUAACUGAAAUCAAUACUUCAGUGACCUCAUAGCUAAAGUAUUAGUUUAAAAAAAAACUGUUAACCAUUUACCACACUAAUAGUACACCGUGUGCAUGCGAUUUUUCUAAGGCAAUUCUGUGGUCACAAGAUUUUGAAUACAGUAAUCAAACACCUUUGACUGUUUAAACAGGUGUGCUGGGAGAGAAUGCCCACUAGCUUACCUUAUCGUGUCUCAUUACAGGGACAGAUGGCCACCCUGCUACACUUACGAUUAUUUACUUUAGCAGUUACACCUCAACAGGAACACACCAGCUAUAGGCCACACAACUGCUAUUUUCUCCAGGUGAGUCAAAGUGGGAUAAGCUUGCUUGUGGUGAGGUCGCCCAGAUAACUUCCAUCAGAGAGCCAAAACAGUUACAGCCAAUUGUCCAGCUCAGCAGAUUAUUUCCCCCGGAGCAGAAGACUGAGCGCCGCUGUUACUCCCCGGCAGCGGAGACAAGUAUAGCAGAAUGUCAAGACGGGGUUUUCAGGUGGCACGGCACACCAAAAACUUCCCGGCAUCCCUUCUGCUCAACGAAUGAUGACGCAUCAUUCUGCUGACACAAGUCAUCUGAUUGCUGUGUCACGGCAAUGGUUUUAGGCGAGUGGCAGCGCUCCGGCUACAGACGUAGAGUCUUUUUUUCCUCCCAGACGCACUGCGGCACAGCCAGACAACUAGAGUGGAAGCACAGGAGCUCACAGCUGCAGUCUACUGGCUUGUUUUGGGGAGGCAGAGAAGCCGAGGACUUCCUCUCGAAAUACCGUCAUUGUGCUUCUCUCCGCCGUUUAGGGAUAAUUUUCAUUGGGGCAAAGCGAUUGAAGAGAGUAGAGCCAAGAAAGAAGACGAACUCUGAGUCAAACAA